AUUGAACGCUGGCGGCAGGCCUAACACAUGCAAGUCGAGCGGUAGCACAGAGAGCUUGCUCUCGGGUGACGAGCGGCGGACGGGUGAGUAAUGUCUGGGAAACUGCCUGAUGGAGGGGGAUAACUACUGGAAACGGUAGCUAAUACCGCAUAACGUCGCAAGACCAAAGUGGGGGACCUUCGGGCCUCAUGCCAUCAGAUGUGCCCAGAUGGGAUUAGCUAGUAGGUGGGGUAACGGCUCACCUAGGCGACGAUCCCUAGCUGGUCUGAGAGGAUGACCAGCCACACUGGAACUGAGACACGGUCCAGACUCCUACGGGAGGCAGCAGUGGGGAAUAUUGCACAAUGGGCGCAAGCCUGAUGCAGCCAUGCCGCGUGUGUGAAGAAGGCCUUCGGGUUGUAAAGCACUUUCAGCGGGGAGGAAGGCGGUGAGGUUAAUAACCUUGUCGAUUGACGUUACCCGCAGAAGAAGCACCGGCUAACUCCGUGCCAGCAGCCGCGGUAAUACGGAGGGUGCAAGCGUUAAUCGGAAUUACUGGGCGUAAAGCGCACGCAGGCGGUCUGUCAAGUCGGAUGUGAAAUCCCCGGGCUCAACCUGGGAACUGCAUUCGAAACUGGCAGGCUAGAGUCUUGUAGAGGGGGGUAGAAUUCCAGGUGUAGCGGUGAAAUGCGUAGAGAUCUGGAGGAAUACCGGUGGCGAAGGCGGCCCCCUGGACAAAGACUGACGCUCAGGUGCGAAAGCGUGGGGAGCAAACAGGAUUAGAUACCCUGGUAGUCCACGCCGUAAACGAUGUCGAUUUGGAGGUUGUGCCCUUGAGGCGUGGCUUCCGGAGCUAACGCGUUAAAUCGACCGCCUGGGGAGUACGGCCGCAAGGUUAAAACUCAAAUGAAUUGACGGGGGCCCGCACAAGCGGUGGAGCAUGUGGUUUAAUUCGAUGCAACGCGAAGAACCUUACCUGGUCUUGACAUCCACAGAACUUAGCAGAGAUGCUUUGGUGCCUUCGGGAACUGUGAGACAGGUGCUGCAUGGCUGUCGUCAGCUCGUGUUGUGAAAUGUUGGGUUAAGUCCCGCAACGAGCGCAACCCUUAUCCUUUGUUGCCAGCGGUUAGGCCGGGAACUCAAAGGAGACUGCCAGUGAUAAACUGGAGGAAGGUGGGGAUGACGUCAAGUCAUCAUGGCCCUUACGACCAGGGCUACACACGUGCUACAAUGGCAUAUACAAAGAGAAGCGACCUCGCGAGAGCAAGCGGACCUCAUAAAGUAUGUCGUAGUCCGGAUUGGAGUCUGCAACUCGACUCCAUGAAGUCGGAAUCGCUAGUAAUCGUAGAUCAGAAUGCUACGGUGAAUACGUUCCCGGGCCUUGUACACACCGCCCGUCACACCAUGGGAGUGGGUUGCAAAAGAAGUAGGUAGCUUAACCUUCGGGAGGGCGCUUACCACUUUGUGAUUCAUGACUGGGGUGA
rnacentral:rRNA from 1 species